GUCCGCGUCAGGUCCUCCUCCUCCUCCUCCGCGCUCCUCCUCGGUCCCCGGGACCCGCAGCGAGGAUGCUUGAAAACUUUGCGGCUCCGCCCUGCCGGGAACACCUGCGGCCGGCGCCUGGCAUUUAUGUUCUGAAACUACCUUGCUGGUUUGUCAUCUGUAAUUCCCCGACACCCAUCCCAUUAAAAUGGAGAAGCUGCUUGAAGGCAGGCAGAGAUGUUGACUGAAGGAGAAACCAGCCUGUGUGACAUCAUCAGAGAAUGCCUCAUGAAGGAGAUGGAACACAAGAGGGGAAGAGCUUAGCAUCGCAAGUGGAGAGGAGAGAAAAGGGCUUGUUGGCUGUCUGGCAAGGAGCAGAGAGAUUUUGCAGUGAUGUGGAUGGAAUUUGGGAUCUUACACAUGCUAGAAAUCUACUCUAAACCAUGGACUGCAAUGGACCACCUAUGAAGAGAUGACAAAAUGUUUAAGAAAUGCUUUAAACCUUUCUGAAUACUUUAAACAGAAAUUACAUUCUACUGACAUUCCUAGGAAAACUGUCUUUCAAAAAUGAAGGAGAAAGUAACACAGUGCCAAAUUAAAAACAGGGUGGGCCUUUGGAGGUGAAGCCUUGCUAUAGGAGGAGUGCCACUGGGGGCCUUGGGAUUUUGUAGUUCAGCCCACUUUCCAGUGCUGUCUAGGUUACUCUUGCUGCUUUUCUCUGGCUGAUGUGGAGAGAUGUGAUGCCCAGCUGCUGUCAUGCUUUCCCAGCUACGAUGAAACUUCUUGAAACCAUAAGCCAAA